UACGUAGGUGACCAGCGUUGUCCGGAUUUACUGGGCGUAAAGCGUGCGCAGGCGGUUUUGUAAGUCUGAUGUGAAAUCCCCGGGCUCAACCUGGGAAUUGCAUUGGAGACUGCAAGGCUAGAGUCCGGAAGAGGCGAGUGGAAUUCCCGGUGUAGCGGUGAAAUGCGCAGAUAUCGGGAGGAACACCAAUGGCGAAGGCAGCUCGCUGGGACGGUACUGACGCUGAGACGCGAAAGCGUGGGGAGCAAACAGG
rnacentral:rRNA from 1 species